rnacentral:rRNA from 1 species
AUGAACGCUGGCGGCGUGCUUAACACAUGCAAGUCGAACGAUUAAAGCUCACUUCGGUGAGUGUAUAGAGUGGCGAACGGGUGAGUAACACGUGGGAAACCUGCCCCUUUCUUCGGGAUAACUUCGGGAAACCGUUGCUAAUACCGGAUACUCCGGGAUGGUCGCAUGGCCGACCCGGGAAAGCUUUAUGUGGAAAGGGAUGGUCCCGCGGCCCAUUAGCUUGUUGGUGGGGGUAAUGGCCUACCAAGGCAAUGAUGGGUAGCCG